rnacentral:rRNA from 1 species
AUACAGAGGGUGCGAGCGUUAAUCGGAAUUACUGGGCGUAAAGCGCGCGUAGGCGGCUUAUUAAGUCGGAUGUGAAAUCCCCGGGCUCAACCUGGGAACUGCAUCUGAUACUGGUAAGCUAGAGUUUUGGAGAGGGAAGUAGAAUUUCAGGUGUAGCGGUGAAAUGCAUAGAGAUCUGAAGGAAUACCAGUGGCGAAGGCGACUUCCUGGCCAAAAACUGACGCUGAGGUGCGAAAGCGUGGGUAGCAAACGGGAUUAGAAACCCCAGUAGUCC